AUUGAACGCUGGCGGCAUGCCUUACACAUGCAAAUCGAACGGUAACGGGCCUUCGGGUGCCGACGAGUGGCGAACGGGUGAGUAAUACAUCGGAACGUGCCCGAUCGUGGGGGAUAACGAGGCGAAAGCUUUGCUAAUACCGCAUACGAUCUACGGAUGAAAGCAGGGGACCGCAAGGCCUUGCGCGGACGGAGCGGCCGAUGGCAGGUUAGGUAGUUGGUGGGAUAAAAGCUUACCAAGCCGACGAUCUGUAGCUGGUCUGAGAGGAUGAUCAGCCACACUGGGACUGAGACACGGCCCAGACUCCUACGGGAGGCAGCAGUGGGGAAUUUUGGACAAUGGGCGCAAGCCUGAUCCAGCCAUGCCGCGUGCAGGAUGAAGGCCUUCGGGUUGUAAACUGAUUUUGUACGGAACGAAAAGCCUUCUUUUAAUACAGGAGGGUCAUGACGGUACCGUAAGAAUAAGCACCGGCUAACUACGUG
rnacentral:rRNA from 1 species